rnacentral:siRNA from 1 species
AUCAAAAUGUUGUGGCAUGUCCA